rnacentral:lncRNA from 1 species
AUUUUUCACUCUUUGCCUCUCCUCCUCCCUUAAAUCUAUUCAACCUCUUAUUUUAGCAAUUUAUCCAAACUUCUUAUUUCCCUCUUCCCAGCUGAUUGAUUAGUUCUGCUCAGUUUGAUUAGUUUUGCUUUCCCCUGUUUUCUGAAAGGGAAAAAUAAAAAAGAAAAGGAUAAUGGAAAUUGUUAUCUCCGUUGCUGCAAAAGUUGCCGAGUACUUCGUUGCUCCCAUAAUUCAUCCAUUUACUUACUGCUGCACUUAUAAGACCAACUUCGAAAAGCUGAAUAAUGAAGUUGAUAAGCUCAAGAAUGCUAGAGACAGUGUGCAGUAUAAGGUUGAUGAUUCCAGAAUUAAAGGGGACGGAAUCCAACUGCACGUUGAGGAGUGGCUGAUUGCUGCGAACAAGGAGAUCAAUGAAGUCGAAACACUUAUUGAAGGCAAAGAGAAUUCAAACAACCGGUGUUUGAAGGGGUUAUGUCCUAAUUUGAGGACUCGGUACCGGCUUAGCAAGAAAGCAGAAAGAGAGGCGAAUGCUAUUGUUGGACUCCAUGAAAAAGGGAGAUUCGACAGUGUUUCUUUCCGUACCAUUCCAGAGGAGACAUGGCUUAAGUCUACCCAGGAUUUCAUGCACUUUGAAUCGAGAAAGUCCACCUUGAAGGAGAUACUAGAUGCACUGAGCAACCGUAACUUCAACAUGAUUGGAGUGUACGGGAUGGGUGGGAUUGGAAAGACAACGCUGGUGAAAGAAGUUGGCAGGCAGGUCAAGGAAAAUAAUCUCUUUGAGAAGGUCAUUUCUUCACGUGUUUCACAAACACCGCAAAUAAAAAAUAUACAAGGAGAAAUCGCAGAGAAGAUAGGCUUAGAAUUGGCCGAACAGAGUCAUGAAACUGUAAGAGCAGGGAGGCUGCUUGAACGAUUGAAGAAAGAGACGAAGAUCCUUAUAAUCUUGGAUGAUAUUUGGGGGAGUAUGGAUUUGGAGGCGAUUGGAAUUCCAUUGGCAGAUGACAACGGCGGAUGUAAAGUUCUGCUGACAGCAAGAAGUCAGGAUGUGUUAUCUUGUAAGAUGGAUUGUCAACAUAAUUUUUUUGUUGAUGUUCUGAACGAAAAAGAAGCUUGGAGUCUUUUCAAAAAGAUGACAGGUGAUUGCAUAGAAAAUGGUGAACUGAAAUCUGUAGCAACAGAGAUAGUCAAGGAAUGUGCUGGUUUGCCCAUUGCCAUUGUACCCGUAGCAAGGGCAUUGAGAAAUAAGAGAUUGUCUGAAUGGAAGGAUGCUUUGCUGGAAUUUAGAAGGCCUUCCUUGAGAAACUUCACUGGAACAACGGAGGUGGCGUACAAUAGUAUAGAGCUAAGUUACAAUCAUUUAAACGGAGAGGAACUGAAGAAAACAUUUUUGCUAAUCGGGUACACGUUCUUCUCUUGUGUUGAAGACCUACUCUAUUAUGGCAUGGGUUUGGGUCUGUUUCAAAACAUCAACACGUUGGAAGAGGCACGGGAUAGAGCACAUACAUUGAUUGAUAAACUCAAGAACUCUUGUUUGUUGCUUGAUGGCGGUUCAAGUGAAUGGUUUUCAAUGCAUGAUGUUGUUCGUGAUGUAGCCAGAUCAAUUGCAUCAAGAGACCAACAUGUGUUUGUGGUGGAAAAUGAGGUUGUUCCGCUGACCAACUGGCCAGAUAAGGAUACACUGAAGGUUUGCACCGCAAUCUCCUUAAAUAAUAGUAAUAUUAGUGAGCCUCCUCAAGGGUUCGAAUGCCCGCAACUUAAAUUCCUUUGUAUUGGCCGUCAUGCUUCUUUGAGGAUCCCAGAUAAAUUUUUUACUGGGAUGACAGAGCUUAGAGUUUUAGAUUUCACUAUGAUGCAUUUAAAACCAUUGCCUUCAUCUCUUGGUCUCUUACAAAACCUUCAAACAUUGUCUCUCGAUGAUUGUGAAGUAGGAGACAUGGCCAUUAUUGGAGACCUAAAGAAAUUAGUUAUCCUUACGCUUCGAGGUUCUAAUAUGGAGGAACUGGCUGGAGAGAUAGGCCAGCUGACUCAAUUGAGGUUGUUGAAUCUGGGCAACUGUUUCAAUCUACAAGUUAUUCCACCAAAUGUCAUAUCAAGCUUAUCACGAUUAGAAGAAUUGUAUAUCGGUGAGAGUCCCAUUAUGUGGGGGAAGGUUGGAGGAGUCGACGGUGAAAGAAGAAAUGCCAGCCUUGAUGAGUUGAAUAAUUUAUCUAAAUUGACCUCUUUAGAAAUACUCAUCCAAGAUGAAAAGGCUCUACCAAGAGACUUGUCGUUCUUCAAAAUGCUGCAAAGGUACAGGAUAUUGAUAGGAAAUUGCAGGGAGUAUGGCGCAUGGGAUGGGAUUUCUAGAACGUUCAGACUGGGGCUCACAAAUGGUGACAACAUUUGCUUGAACGAGGGGCAUAUCAUGCAAUUGAAGGGUAUUGAAGGCCUAACUUUGGAUGGAUUGCCGGACAUUAAGAAUAUUCUUUGUGAACUAGGCAGAGAAGGUUUUCCACAGCUGAAUCGUCUCGAAAUCCGACGUAAUGGCAACAUUGUUCGUCUUGUUGACACAAUGGAUUGUACGCCAGCUCGGACGACUGCAUUCCCACUUUUGGAGUCAUUAUUUCUGAGAGAUUUAAGGAACCUUGAGGAAAUAUGUCGUGGUCCACUCACACCAAAGUCUUUUAGCAAAUUAAAGACCAUAAGGGUGGAAGGGUGUGAUAAAUUGAAAAAAGUAUUUCCAUUGGUCAUUGGCAGAGGCCUUCAACAACUUCAGUCCGUUAAAGUGAGUAGUUGCCAAAAUAUGGAAGUGAUUUUUGCUGCCGAGAGAGGAGAUGAAUCCAGCAAUAAUAACGGUACUGAAGUGAUUGAACUCACUCAAUUAAGGACACUUGAGCUUCGUUCUCUUCCGCAGCUUACAAGCUUCGGCACAGGAGAUCUGCAUUUUGAAAAGGUAUUUCUACUUUUGAGAGUUCAGAGUUUUAUUGUCGUCAUCGCCCUCAUCACUUCGUCUUUUAGAAACAAAAUGUUAGUUCUAUAAAUCAGUUUAUUUAAUUAUACUUUAUAAUAUCCUUAUAAACAUAAUUAUCACUCUUCAGUAAUUCUUCUCAUUAUCGAAUAUUGAAUUGGCUACAACCAUAGAUGGAUUUGGAUGUCAGUUAGACCGAAUAAAAAAAAAAAGAAAAGAUAUUUAUACAACCAUGAUAACAGAAAUAGUGGCAGAUGAGGAUGAUGAGGGAGAUAAUUAUGCAGCAAAAGAUGAAAUUGUUUUCAGCGAAUUAAAGGAAUUGUUGCUUUGGGACUUAAAAAGUCUGACUAGUUUCAGCUGCUCUGGGAAUAAUUGCGACUUCAAAUUCCCAUCUCUAGAAAGAUUAGUGGUGGAAAAUUGCCCCAAUAUGAAGAUUUUCUCAGAAGGGGAAUUAAGCACACCCAAGUUACAGAAAGUGCAGCUGAGCGUGUUUGAUAAUAAACUUUGGGCUUGGGAUCGGGACCUUAAUACAACCAUUCAAUACCUUAAUACAACCAUUAAAAGAAAAAAGGUAAGUAUUCAUUCACUAUGAGAUGUUGAUUUUUUUUUUAAAUUACUGAUUUAAUAACAGAUAUAUAUAAAAAAGUAAAAAGAAAAAAAUACAUAUUAAUUUUUUUAUAAAUUCAUUUUAAAUCUGAAUAGGAAGAGGAGGAAGAAGAGAAAGAGAAGUCUGCCAAGGCGAAUGAAAAGGAGAAAGAUGCGAAAGACAGUGGUAAGAUAAAAUCUAUACAAUUUAGGAGGUUUUGAUUUGAUUCUAUUUUGCUGACUAAAAAUGUUUUAUUUAUGUUGAAUUUUUUGUUAUACGUAUUUUACUCUUUGUCUACAGAGUCUCGAAACUUAUGAAGACGAUUCAUGCUACUUGUGCAGCAUUUUGGAUAAGGCUCGAGCUCGAGUUCUUUGUAUAUAUUGAGAGUCAGAUGGUGUUGGUGAGAGGAUUUUUUGUUUCAGUUUUCAUUCAUUUUUAUGCUUUUAGCUUUGUUUGAGUGCUCAGAAAUCCAAUUUGAAUUUAGUUUUAUUUCUUAUGGAUGGUGUCCAAGAUCUGCCAUAUUCAAUUUGUAGGCAUCUGAAAAUCUCUUUAAGCCCUAAAUUAAUUAAAGAGAUGUGUGCAUCAUAUUUGUGUUCGUACACCUAUUGGUAUUUUUUGGAGACAAUUAUGUAAGAAAUUAUGUAAUUUCAUGAAAAUAUGAAGAUUUUAUAUAGAAAAUUAUGGAAAAAUAAAAGUUUACGGGUCGAUUGCUGUUGACAAGUUCCUCCAUUUACAUUAUUAUUAAUUAUUUUUGUUGGUGAAAGCUAAGAUUAGAAGAAUGCGACAAUAAGAAGAUUAAAUACUUUGACAAGUUCCUCCAUGUUCAUUGUAGUAGAUAUUCAACAAAGAUGAUAAUACAGCAACAGAAAUUGGAGUUUUAAGCCAUCAGACACAAACAAUUGUGAAACAAGUGGGUAGAGGGAAUAAUAAAAAUCGAAAGACAUGGAUGGGAAGAAUAUGAGAUCAUUGAUAGAACCUAAAUACAAAUUCAAUCAAUUCAUUAAGCCAUCAAAAGUUAGUUACAAACCACUCUAUCUUAACAUAUGUAAUUUACCAUCAUCUAAAACCACUAUAUCCUAACAUAUGUAAUGUACCAUUAUCAAUUUUCGCUAUGUUAUGUCUGUAUAGCCUAAUAUGUUUGGCUUGGUUUUGUCUAAUAUGUUUAGCUUGGUUUUGUAUCCUUUCCAAACAUAUGAAUAUUUACUCAAGCGCAUGUUUGGGCCAUCUGAACAUUGAGUGGUUUGAUAUCUCUGCAGCGCAUGUAGGUCAGAAACUGACCAGGCAGCUCCUCCAAAAGUGCUUGUACAACAGAAAUUUGCCCACCUGUUCAGAAAACAAUGGGUUCGUUUGUUCAGGCAUGAAAAAAUUCAGAAACUUUUGUGAAUUAACUCCUAAAUUCAAUAGUUUGAACUAAUUUUGUCAAUGAAUCAUAUGCACUCACUAUGAACUUCUUGCAUUGGAACAAAUUGUACUAUAUCUCUGGUAGCUACCCGAUCGGUAGAGCUCUCUAAUCUACGGCCAUUAUCAGCAUCAAGAAUCUGCCAACAAAGUUAUCAGCGUCAAGAAUCUGCAACAAAAGUGGGAUAAUACCACACUGCAUAUAUACUCUAAAUUGAAUCUAUCAAACUAUAGAAAAAAGAAGUUCAAUGCUAGUAAGAAGAUAUUCCAGUUGGAAAACAUUGCGUACCUCCAUUUGUGUAAAAUCUGCACCUCCCACACCCACAAUUAGAAUUGACAGGGGAAGAUCAGAAGCCCUUACCAAAGCAUCUUUCGUUUCUUGGAGAUCUGUCAGAACUCCAUCCUAGAUAGACCAUGCAAAUUUACAAAUCACCCAAAAAGAAUGAUAGAAAGAGAAAACUGUGAAUAUAUAGAAUCAUUGUAAUCACCGUUAUAAUGAGUAAGACGAAAUACUUGCUUCUGUCGUAUGAGAGGGAUUGUCCAGCAAUUCGUGCAGCUGUGUUGAUCACUUGACCAAACAGAGUCGGUCCUGCCAAAGAAACAUUGUUUAGAGCGCUUGCAUAAGCAGCCAUAAUGCCUUCAACUCCAUCUACCUAUUAAAUAAAGAAACCAGCAGUUAAUAAAAAAAAUGGAAGAGGAUAAAAUAUACAUCUUUUAGGAUAAAAUUCCAAGGAAAUUUUCAGAAAAUGUAGAAACAUAUUAUAAUGUUUGUUAUUAAAAAUGAAAAGUUAUGGGAGACAAGCCAACCAAAUAAGGAUUACAGCAAAGUAGCGAACUCCAGUUACCCCUACCUCAAAGCCACCUGCUCUUCCAUUCAAGUUAAAACAAUGUGAUACAGUGCCAUCAAAUGUCUUCCCUCCAAAUCCCCAUGCAAAAGCGUCUAUCAGAAUCAUAAAAUUGUAUGACCUCCCCAAUUUCCGUUAUUGCCUGUAAAUGGUUUAAGUGGCCAAUAACUAAUCAGUGAUAUUCUCUCUCAACUUCUACGAACUAUUGAAAUAUCUAUUUCCCUAUGACGGCCAUAGAAAGACUUGAAAGUCACAUGCAUUUUCUAAGUCGAAAACACUGGACAAAAUGACCAUUUUAUGACCUUCAGAGUUCAGAGAUCACUUGUCAAAAUGUGAGUCAUAACAAAACCUUACCUGCUGGUAAGAAUUCAAUCUGCCUGAAGGAUCAAUAUAGUGCAAAGAAUUUGGAUUUCGAGGAUUUCCAUUUGAAGCUGGAUGAUUUUGCAUUUAACGAGAGGCAAGAUGAAGUUGGACCAAAUAAGAGGAAAUAAACAAAACAAACCGAUUAUAUUGCCAAUUUAUCUUCAACAAGCAAUCUCUUUCUAAUUACCUGUAAAGUCGACUGCAACCAUAAAAUUCAACUCAAAGCCACUAGAUAUGUAAUCCAGAAAACUAUAUUGCUCUUUCUCAACAAACUUUUCAACAAACAACUGACUUUUCAGAACCUAGGAAAAAGUCAGAUAAAAAAUAAAGUGAUAUUAAAUUAUCAAAAACCGUAAGCAUGAACAAACACCUUUGGUGGAGUUAAAACAAAAAAGAAUAAACACCUUGUCAUGGCCACGUUGAGUUGAUGGUAACAUAAAAGUUGCACCAGUUCUUUCUUGAUGAAGUUUCUCAAGGUCUCCAACUGAUUUCUGAAUUUUACUAAUAACAGAAAUAGAAAACCUUGACAUCAGAAAGGCAAAAGGAUAAAAGAGGGAAGCUGAUGACAUUAAGAAAUUUAACAGUUACCCCAUCAGUACGUGAUUUCCACUGGUAUUGAAAUCAAAACAUUCAAUGAUUAAUGGGUUUUCCUGUACCAAAGAGAAUCAUAAACUAAAAAACAUUUCCCCAUGACCAAACUUCACUACCUAAUAUACAUUUAAGUAACAAGCACAAGAAGAUGAUAAGGUUACCUUGCUCACAAAUUGCUGCAUGCUCAAAGUUAUUGGUCUCCAAAUGGGAUUCAAGUUAUUGUUUAUCACCUCCGUCUUGUAGAUAGGAACAGAAUUUCCACUCUCAACAAUUCUAGAUAUUCUUAAGAAUGGAUCCUAUAGAAUAUAAGAAGAAGAAGAAUGAGCAUCUAAAUUAAUAGAUUAAUUAGUGAACCUCCAAACUUAGCUACUUUGUCAGAACUUACACUUUUGGAAAACAGGUCUACAUUUUGCAAAUGUGAGCAACGGAAUGCUAUUUCAACAGCACUCUUGGAAGCAACCGUUUCCUCAGCAUGGACAGAGAGUGUCCCAAAGUUUCUUGAAACUCGAAGUCCAUAAUUGUUAUGGAGUUUUAAGGUUAAAGUUCGAUUUUGUUUGGUCACUAUCUGCCAUUUAAAAGGAAAAUAUGACACUUGUUAGUGCAAAAGAAGAAUGCUAAAGAAGAAGACGAAUGCUAGUAAAAAGCAUCUGAGAAUAUUUUGCCCUUUUUUUGAUAGGAAACAGAUUUUUACAGAAAAUUAGAUGGGCAUAUUUUGCCCAUUGAAUAAAGAGAAUACAUAAAUUCAUCAAACAAAAUAUAACCCAGAAACUUACCUCAGAGAGAACACAGCUAGCUUCUCCCAGGAAGUCUUGAUCCUCCAACUUUAGCAUCUGCAGGGCAAUGUAAAUAAGAAGUUUGAGCUUUAAACUUCACACUUCAACAAAUAUUUUGUCAUGAGAUAAUAAUGACUUGAAAGUAAUUAGGGAUCACUGCAGCAAAGAAUCAAAAGAACACUAGAUUUCCUACUUAAUGUCUUAGAAUCCAUCUGGAUUUGUUCAUUUUCUCUUUCCACUGGUAUAAAUUUACAUAUUUAUCAUUUUUCCCAGUAAUGUUAAUACCAUUUACAAUUGACAUAAAUAAUCAUCACAUUUUUAGAUUAUCUAACUGUUUUCAGCAAAUGCUUCCAAAUGAUUACAGUUUCUAGGAUUAUAACCAUCAAAAAAUUUUCAUUUUGACUCAAAUUCCACAGACGAAUACAUCAUAGGCUCUAAAGAUUUACUUAUCCAUUUCAAUACUGACAAUAUGGUCAUUUUUUACAGAAACUUCUUUAGGUCAUGGCAGCAACUAUUUAACUGUAUUGUUUUUAACAACAUAGAUCAAAAUUCCAUUUUGGAAAAAAGAAAAUUUAUCCGUAAGGACCAUCAGAAAAAUUGUUCUUUCCCAGUUAUGGUAGCAGGACAAAUAUGUCAAACCUUGCAAGAUGCAAUAGCAGAAAGUUCCAUAAUAACUACCCUGGCCUUAAGAUUUGUUUAUGGUAUAUGACAGCCAACUUUUUAAGUUUCUUUCCAUGCUAAAUGUUAGUUUAUAAUCAAUCAAGUAUUCCCAAAUUUCCCGAAAUUGAUAGAAACUAUUGCUGAUGCAAUUUAGUUUAGACGUAUGCUUAGACAACAAAUGGAUCAGUCAAAUGCCUUGGCUAACUCUAAACUUUGGAACUGAAGUAUGUGCGUAUCAUUUACAUCUGAAUUGAGAGAAAAAAAAAUAAUUAAGAAAUUUUAUACCUUCACUGGAAUAUUGUGGUACUUGGUAUCCACAUCAUACACACGAAAGCUGGAAAAAGAAGAAAAGCAUUAAGAAAUUCGAAAACAUUAAAUAUUAUCAAAUCAAGCAAGGCUUAAGCGCAUGACCUAUCAAGAAAAAAAAAACUUUAAAAAGAACACACUAAAAACUUACACCAAGGGCUGGACGAUCUCAAACUGAAAAGCAAUUGAAAUCUUUCCAAUCCAAGCAGGAUUCAAAUUGUUCAUAAUCACCUCUGUACGUCCAAUCUCGUCCAGCCUCCCAUCUCUUUUCUUUGCAUACACAACUGCCGUGGGAUCACUCUAUGACACAAAAAGACAUGUAAAUACAUUUGCUUGUGAAUAUAAAAAUAAUAAAAAAAAAAACAGAAGGCAUAUGGGUAUGUAUCCACUUAUGUCAUAUAAAUAUAGACAUAUAUUAGUUAAAUAACUUUAGUUGUCAUAUAAAUAUAGACAUUUAUUAGUUAAAUAACUUUAGUUAGUAAUCCAUCGUUAAAAUACAGCAGCAUUUUAUGUAUGCUAGUAUCAGCCAGUAAAAAGAUAUACGGCUGAUAAAUGUUCAUUAUCAAAGAAUUUUAUCUUGCACAUAUAACAUAUUUGACUAGUGCUCAAAAUUGCAAAAACAAUAAAACCACCAACCAUGACUUGUUAUACAUUAUCUGGAACUCUCAAGUUACUGCUCCUUACUGGAUUACAUUGGAGAUAGACAGUGUAUAUAACAAACUAUUCUUCUUUGUCUAAGUUUAGAAUUUUGGUGCCAGCACUAAGCGUUAUUAAGAUCAUAUAUCCCUAGACCCUUUAUGAACAGAGAAAGGAAAUUGACAGGGCCAUUAUGAACAAAUAAGCAGAUCAUAUAAGGAGGAUACAAGAUAACAUGAGAAUCAAUCACCAAGACUAUCAACAGCAUGAACAUGGCAUUAUCAGACAUAAGACAACAAUAAUAUGAAGGCGUACCUUUGAUGCGAUGUCAAGAUCACGUAACUUUGAAGCAGAUAAAGAUAACUGCAAUAUAUAUUCAAAAACAUAAGAACGAAUACAGAUACAUGAAAAAGCAGAAAAGGAGUAAUCCAUGCAUAUGCUGCACGAAAUGAAAAUUGUCAGUACGAUGUGGGUCAACUGACAGGCAAUAUAUAUCUGUCAUAAACAGAACAUGCAGAAAACCAUCAUUUCGGAUUCUGACAAUCACUUCUAAUAUUAAAUCUUAUAAGCAGGCAAUAAUAUAUGUAAUUAAGUUUUAUAUAACAACAGGAUGUGACACGUCAAUUACAAGCAUUGAACCACAUUUAAUUUGUUAUCAUAUGACUUGUUUCCUUUUCUCCAGGAAAGUUUCCAAGGAGAUCCUCAGGUAAGGUCCACAUCAAUACAGGAAUAUUACAAUUACUUGGUGGUCCAUGUUAUGGAAAGACAUUCUUAUCCUCGUAACAACAUAAUCCUUAAUCCACAAUUUUUUAUAAAGUUAAUGGUUUGUCUUAUGCAAACCAGCAUUCACAAAAUCAUGUUCCAUUCAGGAGAGCAUUAUCAUGGGGAAUCUUCACAGUGGUACAAGUCAAAUUUGAUCACGAGGGGUAUGAGUCAAAUUUGAUAAAUGAGGCAUAACAGAAUAGUCAACUUUGAGGAUACACAGGAAAACCACUGUGCAUUCAACAGGAUCAAACAUCAACUUUCUCAACGUUCACAAGGCCUUUGUGCAUUCAACACCAUUCUUUUUUUAUUUACGUUAUCCAAUCUUAAUCUAAAAUUCACUUCACAGAAUGUUGUCAUUGGGUAUAAGCAGUUAAACUUACUGUUCUCCCUAUGCAAAACAAAAGCAGUUGCUUGGUGUGAAACCGUCAAACCAACACCAGCAAAAGAUCAGCCACAAGAAAAAAAAAAAUGCUUCUCAAAGAAGCACUUGACAGGCGAAUAUUCUUUUGAGAAGGUGCUUAACUCCUUUGUCCUUUGAAGAAGCACCAAGUAAAAUAUUCGCCCUCCAAAAUUCCGAAUACUUCUCUUACAUUAUUAAAAAAAGGCAUGUUUGGAAUUGCAGUUGAUUCUUGAAUAAGAAUUUACUCCCGAUUAUGUUCGAAUUAUCAAAUAAUUUUUAUCAAAUAUAAACAAUUUAAGUUGUUCUUUUAGGGAUGUUACACUGACAAGUCAUCAAAGAAGUAAUAAUAACAAACAUAAUUUGGGUAUAGAUUUUCAAACGAGUGACCAUUUGAGAAUCCAUCACAAUUACAGAAACCAACGAAGUCAGAUUUAAAAAAGUAAAAUAAAAAAUUAUAAAUAAAUUAAAAAACAUAAACUAAUCAUAAAUUUACAAAUUUUUAAUUAAUUAAUUAAUUAAUUAACUGAAAAUAGUUUAUUAAUAGUGGCAGCGAAAGACUCAUAUAAAUUCAGGUAUACAGAUAUACCUCGAUUUGGGUGAAAAGGGCUUGAAGACCGCGAGAUUUGAAGAAGAAAUCAACGGCGUCGUUUUGUCCAGAAACAUUGUUCUGAUCAGCCGCGGUGGUGGGCCGAAGCUGGGCCCCACCUACGGCUUGUUUCCCUCCCCUCACAUCACUCCCAGACAAACAUAAUCCCAUCUGUUUUUUUUUUUCUCUCUCUCUGUCUUUAUUCUCAAGAGUACGGAGUCUCACUGUUCGGUCGAUGUUCUUUAAUCGCUCAAAUCCGUAGCCUCUGACAGAGAACUGGGGCGGGGCUUUACUUUUGCCCUCUAUUUAUAGGCUUCUGCGCUUGAGUCGUAUUUGAAUUUGACUCUGUUUCUGCUGCGAAAAUGUCAAGAAAAAAAAAAAAGUUUUUUUUUUUUUGUAUUUGAAUUUGAAUACUUCUAGGGGGAUUGAUGAUGGAUUGUUUUACUGUAUUUGGAAGUUGGAACGUUUAGGCCCACCUAAUUAUCAUUAAUAAUAGAUAGUUAUAUCAAAAUUUACCAACUUCAUUUUAGCUAUGAUAUUAGCUUGCGCACUAUGAAAUGAUUAGGUUUUGUAAAUUUUUUUUUUUUUUUUUACAGUAUCUUAGAGAAUAAGUUUCCAUUGUAUGUAACCGGCUAGAGCCCCUCCCUCACAAAUGUGAGGGAAGGGGUUCGAGCCUCCGCAGUCGCAUUGUAGGGGUUUAAUUUAAAUAUCCUUCCUUGUAGCCCUUGAGCUCGAGUGAAGGCAGUCUUUCUCCCAGGAUGGGAGUUUGACAUCCCUCGAAUAUUUGAGAGGGUUAAAAAAUCUUAGCGGUGCCAUAUCAGCAUUAAUGUCAACAGAGCUCAGUAUAAAUAUAUGAUUGUACAUAUCAAUUAUACUCUCAUGUAAUAUGAGUUAAGCCCUUGAGCUCGAGUGAAGGCAGUCUUUCUCCCAGGAUGGGAGUUUGACAUCCCUCGAAUAUUUGAGAGGGUUAAAAAAUCUGAGCGGUGCCAUAUCAGCAUUAAUGUUUAAGACAAAUUCUAGAAUCUAAAGUAAAGAAUCGGUAAAUUUAUAAAGAAAUAUGAAGAAACAGCAAGGUAUUGAAGAAUUCAAUUUCUCAUUAUAUUUGGACAUUUGGACGUCAUUAAUGUUAAUUGAUUUUUUUCCGCGUAAAAAAGUUUCGGAUUUAUUUUGUUCCUCCAAACGCCAUUCAUUGGAAAUAAGUUUAUUUUUCUGACAACUUCAACUCAUAAAUUUUAAUUAUUUUGUUAUAAUAAUAGUACGAACAAUUCUAUGUAUUACGAACAAAAAAAAAAAAGAAUCUUAAUUUUAUAUCAUAUAUAAUUAUAUAUAUAUAGACUCAAUAAGAGUAUUAUUUAUCAUGUAAUUUAUUAAACUAAUCUCACCUAAAAAGUUGUUGAGAAAAGACAGUAAGUUAAUAAAUAUUUCGUCUUCCCCAAGGUUUUUGAUUAGAAGAAUGACUUGAUAUGGCUGAUAUUGAUAAAUUAAAAAGGGAAAAAUAAUAAACAAUGGAGGAAUUUUCAAAUUAGGUCAACAAUCGUAGUCUAUUUUAUUUCGUAAUAAUGGCAAUGACGAAGCCCUUAUAACAUAAGCUUGCAAACGUAAUCAAGAUAUCCGUGGAAAACAAGCAACAAUUCCAAUGGGGUGGAAUAAAAUGUCUAAUAUUUAAAUUUUUUAUUUCAAUUUCUGUUUAUAUAAUUUAUUUAAUUUAUAAUAAAGAUGAAUAAUUAAAUAAAUUUUAAAAUAUCUUAAAAUAAGAAUAAUACUAUAAAAUUAUGAUAAAUGAAAGUUAUUGAUUAUUAUGAAAACAAUAAGAAGAGAAAUGGUAUGUAUUAAUUUCUACAUGAAGGAAACUGCCAACCUCCCUUUAAUAUGUUGUGACAAUCAUUAGAAUUUCAAUAAAAUGAUAAACUCCUCUACAUAAUCGAUAGUCAUUGAUCACGUACGUGUACAUUUAAGUUGGAAAAAAGAAGAAGAAGAUAAUUCAAGUAUAAUAAAAUCAGAAUGCGUAUGUCAUAACUAAUUUCACUAAAUGGUUAUAAUACGUUUUAUGCACUUGAGAUUUUCUCAAAAUGAGAAAAGAAAAAGGCUCAUUAGUCACUCCUAUAUAUAUGUGUGUGUGUGCGCGCGCGCUUAAACUUAACUCAGGAUAAUCUAUAUUAUAUAGAACGUAAAAUUGAGUUACGUAUAAAAACGUAACUCAAGUGUCACAUUAUACGGCGCGCUUAAACUUUGAUAAUCUAUAUUAUAUGCCCAUAAAAUCAAGAAUUUUACAAUACAUUAAAACCAAUACAAUCAUCUAAUGUAUAUAUAAUAUAUAUAGUUAAAUUUGAUAUAAUCAUCAAUUGCAUGAUAAUUUUACAAAAUAUAAAUAUUAUCUAUUUGUUGAAUGACUAACUUUGUAGUAUGAUGUUUAUAGAAUUUUUCCGUAAAAUCAUUAUUGUAAUGAGGAUUGUUGAGGGACGUGUUAUUAAUGAAAAGGACUGCACAUGUUAUCCAAUAAUUGAGACACUUGUCUUGUUAGAGGACAUUUUCAAAGAUUAAAGGUAUAGAAGCCAUUUGCAAAAUUUCCAAGCGUGGAGAACAUGCAUGCAUGCACGUGGAAUUCCAUGCAUAAAAUGAUAAAAUACUCGUCAAGUCUCACCUUAAAUUGUAGUUUCUAUCGUUUGCAAAGAAGUUUCAUUAUUUAGGUUGUGUUUGGGAUUGAAGUUGGGCAGCUGUAGCUUAAAAACUACAGUACUAAAGUGUUUGGUAAACACUAGCUGCUGUAACUUUUAAGCUAUAUUGAUAUGAUUUUUCACUUGUAUAAUACAAAAUCUAUUAUAUCUUUAAUAAUUUUAUCAAAAUUAUUAUUUAAAAUUUAUAUUUACUAUAUAUUAUUAACUUUUAUUUCAUAAUUACAGCUUGUUUUUCACAACAGCUGUAGCUUAAAAGCUACAGCACCUCAAUCCCAAACGCACCCUUAAUUUCCAAAUCUUGGGUCGUGCCGCCUCGUACAUGAAUAAGAUUACUUGCCACGAUUACCAAUUUUUUAUCACUUUAUUAAUUCCUUUUCUUCCUAUACAUGAAUCUUGUUAAAUUUUACUUGCUAUUUUACUUUUUUUUUUUAAUUUUAAAUUCUUUUCUAUAUCAUACUUUGAAUCUUGUUUAAGGAAUCUUUGUAUUCUUUUGUCCGCAUGUCAUGUGCAACACAAAUAAUAUUUUACGUUACACUUGAUAUUCAUUCAUAUAAAUUAAUCAAGGAUAAGAUAUAUAUUGCCAAAUUGAUUAAAAUAAUUAUUAAUUUAAAAUUAAUAAUUUUUUUAUCCAUAACACUGAUAAUAAAGUCCGAUUAUAUAUAGGCAUGCACACUUUUUCCAUGGGGGAUUGAUAAUAAAAUUUUAUAGUGGGUAAUUAGGUGCAACCGUGUUGGUAGAUCUACCUACCUAAUAUUAAUUAAUGAUUGAAAAGAAGAACAUUUAGUUCAUAAUUAAACCAAGAUUGAAUCUUUUUUUUUCUGUUUUUCUUUUUUAAAUGACAAAUGAGAGAUGAAUUCAAAUUAAUCAGGAAUUUUUAUCCGUUAUUUAUUAGAGUUGUGCUAGUAUUUUUUUUUUUUUAAAAAACUACUAAUUACAACAACCUUAAGUAAAACCAACAUAUAUUAUAUAGGUCAUCAUGUGAGCACAGAAUCCGACAUUCCUUUGAGACUUAUAUCUCUCUCAAAUUAAAAUACCGCAAACAAGAAUAUUAAACAAAGUAAUAAUCAAAAGGGAUAUUAUCAUUUUACUACUAAAGUUUUUCUGACAUAUCAAGUCAGUAUUAUGCUUUGGUAAAAACUACAUUUUACUACCAAACAUUUAAUUUAUUAUCACUUUACUACUUUUCCGUUAAAAAUAAGUUAAUAUUUAACGGAAUAUGAGUUAAAAGACUAUUUUAGCCAUGAAAAGAAAAGAAAUAACAAAAAAGAAAACUACAAAUUACUGUAGCACGCAUCCAUUGUAAUGUGUAACACCGUAUCACGUUUUUUGUCCUUAUUGUAAAGUGUCGUUAGAUGUAAAACGAUUGAAUCCAACGAUCAAAAUCGCUUAAUAGAUUAUUGAGGCAUGAACUGUCAACCGUUGAAGCCAGUUAUCAUCAGAACCUUUCUCCAACUCUUGAUCCUCAUUCUCCUCUCCCUGACCAUUAACUUUUUCUCCAGACCUCUCCUCUGACCUGGUCUCACCCUCAUUGCUAUCAGAUUUCUUCUUACCAUCAUCCGAAUCAGAUUUGUUGCAAGCAAUUAAUUUAUUCCCACAACUGGCUUUUGAGUGCGAAGUAGAAGAAAGCUAAGUACAAUCACACUCACAAGGCAAGCAUUUCUUCAAACCGAAUUAUUUCCCACAUCACACAUCCAAUGACAGAGUCCCCUGGUUUCUCUAUACGGCUUUCCCCUUAAUCAUUUUAACAAACAGCUUCAAUACACAAAGAUUAGAGCAAAAAAAGGAAAAAUAAUGGCUAUGUCAACGCUAGGUGAUGACGAAUUAAUGAAAACUAGUUGCCGAGGCAACUCUUGAGAGUCAAGAGUCGCCACGCAAACACAAUCGUGGUCCCUUUUUGCUGUAUAUGUAGAAAAAAAAAAAGAAGAAGCAAGCAGCACGUGGUGGGAGAAAAGAAAAGGUGGGAGAAAUCUUUUAUAAAAAAAAAAGAGAGAAAAGAAAAGUUAGAGAUUUGGCUUUGCAAAGAUGUAGGGUCCUGUGUGUGUUUGUGUUUUGUUUGUUGCUUCUUGUGCUUGGUUGACCGUGAGAGAGAGAGGGGCCGUGAGAGAGAGAGAGCGAUCGGAGAUGGAGGGUUACAAUUUGGGAAUAAAUUUUCAAACGAGCGACUAUUUAAGAAUACAUCACAAUUACAAACAUGAACGAAGUCACAUUUAAAAAAGUAAAAUAAAAAAUUAUAAAUAAAUUAAAAAACAUAAACUAAUCAUAAAUUUUUAAUUAAUUAAUUAACUGAAAAUAGUUUAUUAAUAGUGGCAGUGAAAGACUCAUAUAAUUCAGGUACACACAUAUACCUCGAUUUGGGUGAAAAGGGCAUGAAGGCCGCGAGAUUUGAAGAAGAAAUCAACGGCGUCAUUUUGACCAGAGACAUUGUGGUGAUAAGCCGCGCUGGUGGGCCGGAGGUGGGCCCCACCUACGGCUUGUUUCCCUCCCCUCACAUCACUCCCAGACAAACAUAAUCCCAUCUGUUUUUCUUUUUCUCUCUCUCUCUCUUUAUUCUCGAAAAUUAAAAAAUUAAUCGAAAAAAUUUACCUAAAAGUUUUUGCAAGUUUGUGUCAAGAGUACGGAGUCUCACUGUUCGGUUGAUGUUCUUUAAUCUCUCAAAUCCGUAGCCUCUGACAGGGAACUGGAGCGGGGCUUUAUUUAUAGGCUUUUUGCGCUUGAGUCGUCGUAUUUGAAUUUGACUCUGUUUCUCCGGCGAAAAUGUAAAGAAAUUUCUACUUUUUAAUUCAAUUGUUUUUUCAUGAGGAAAAAAAAAAGUUUUUUUUCUUAUCUAAAAGAUUUUGUCUUUUCCUUUUCCUCUCCAAAAUAUAGAAUAAUGUAGAUGAUGGAUUUUUUUACUGUAUUUGGAACGUUUAGGUCCACCUAAUUAUCAUUAAUAAUAGAUAAUUAUAUCAAAAUUUACCAACUGAUUAGGUUUUGUUAAUUUUUUUUUUACAGUAUCUUAGAGAAUAAGUUUCCAUUGUAUGAAGACAAAUUCUAGAAUUUAAAGUAAAGAAUUGGUAGAUUUGUAAAGAGAUAAAACAAAUUCUCCGGCGAAAAUGUAAAGAAAUUUCUACUUUUUAAUUCAAUUCCUUUUUAAUGAGGAAAAGAUUUUGUCUUUUCCUUUUUCUCUCCAAAAUAUAGAAUAAUGUAGAUGAUGGAUUGUUUUACUGUAUUUGGAACGUUUAGGCCCACCUAAUCAUUAAUAAUAGAUAAUAAUUAUAUCAGAAUUUACCAACUUCAUUUUAGCUAUGAUAUUAGUUUGCGCACUACCAAAUGAUUAGAUUUUAUUAAUUUUUUUUAACCAUAUCUUAGGGAAUAAGUUUAUAAAGAAAUAUGAAGAAACAGCAAGGUAUUGAAGAAUUCAAUUUCUCAUUAUAUUUGGACAUUUGGACGUCAUUAAUGUUAAUUGAUUUUUUUCCGCGUAAAAAAGUUUCGGAUUUAUUUUGUUCCUCCAAAUGCCAUUCAUUGGAUAUAAGUUUAUUUUUCUGACAACUUCAACUCAUAAAUUUUAAUUAUUUUGUUAUAAUAAUAGUACGAACAAUUCUAUGUAUUAUGACAAAAAAAAAUAAUUUAAAUUUAUAUCAUAUAUAAUUAUAUAUAGAGCUAAUGCUAAGUUACAUGCAUGUAACUUACAACCUUUUCACAUAAAUAGUGAGUGAGCUCACAUCACUCACUAUUAAUGUGAGAGGGUUAUAAGUUACAUGCAUGUAACAUAGGGGAUCCUUAUAUAUCGGCUCAAGAGUAUUAUUUAUCAUGUAAUUUAUUAAACUAAUCUCACCUAAAAAGUUGUUGAGAAAAGACAGUAAGUUAAUAUUUCUUCUUCCCCAAGGUUUUUGAUUAAAAGAAUGACUUGAUAUGGCUGAUAUUGAUAAAUUAAAAAGGGAAAAAUAAUAAACAAUGGAGGAAUUUUCAAAUUAGGUCAACAAGUAAUCUUAGUCUAUUUAAUUUCGUAAUAAUGGCAAUGACGAAGCCCUUAUAACAUAAGCUUGCAAACGUAAUCAAGAUAUCCGUGGAAAACAAGCAACAAUUGCAAUGGGGUGGAAUAAAAUGGCAUUCACAGUCAACUACUAAGAUACUGAAGGUUCAAUCGUUUAAGGGUAUUGAUAGUUUCUCCCCCGUCGAAAUUUUAUGUAAAAUAUGUACACCUCUAUUGUUUUCAUAAUAGCUAAUAAUCUUUUGGUAUGAAAAGUUUAAAGGAGAGUAAAGGUAAAUGGGUCAUUUGCUUAAUAUUUUAUUUUGAAAAUAUAAAAUAUAUAUUUACCAUAAAAAAAUAUGUUUAAAGAUAAAAAAAAAUAAGAAAACUAUAUUCAUACUAAUUUUUUAUCAACACUGAAAAUUAUAUUUCUUAUUUCUAAUCUUUAAAUUUUUUUAUUUCAAUUUCUGUUUAUAUAAUUUAUUUAAUUUAUAAUAAAGAUGAAUAAUUAAAUAAAUUUUAAAUAUCUUAAAAUAAGAAUAAUACUAUAAAAUUAUGAUGAAUGAAAGUUAUUGAUUAUUAAUUUCUACAUGAAGGAAACUGCCAACCUCCCUUUAAUAUGUUGUGACAAUCAUUAGAAUUUCAAUAAAAUGAUAAACUCCUCUACAUAAUCCAUAGUCAUUGAUCACGUACGUGUACAUUUAAGUUGGAAUAAAAAGAAGAAGAUAAUUAUAGUAUAAUAAAAUCAAAAUGCGUAAGUCAUAACUAAUUUCACUAAAUGGUUAUAAUACGUUUUAUGUACUCAAAAUGAGAAAAGAAAAAGGUUCAUUAGUCACUCCUAUAUUUAUGUGUGCGCGCGUGCGCUUAAACUUUGAUAAUUUAUAUUAUAUGCCCAUAAAAUCAAGAAUUUUAUAAUAUAUCAGAGACAAUACAAUCAUCUAAUGUAUAUAUAAUAUAUAUAGUUAAAUUUGAUAUAAUCAUCAAUUGCAUAAUAAUUUUACAAAAUAUAAAUAUUAUCUAUUUGUUGAAUGACUAUCUUUGUAGUUUGAUGUUUAUAGAAUUUUUCCGUAAAAUCUUUAUUGUAAUGAGGAUUGUUGGGGGACGUGUUAUUAAUGAAAAGGACUGCACAUGUUAUCCAAUAAUUGAGACACUUGUUAGAGGGAGAAGCCAUUUGCAAAAUUUCCAAGCGUGGGGAACAUGCAUGCAUGCACGUGGAAUUCCAUGCAUAAAAUGAUAAAAUACUCGUCAAGACUCUCCAUAAAUUGUAGUUUCUAUAGUUUGCAAAGAAGUUUCACUAUUUAAUUUCCAAGUCUUGGGUCGUGCCGCCGCGUACAUGAAUAAGAUUACUUGCCACGAUUACCAAUUUUUUAUCACUUUAUUAAUUCCUUUUCUUCCUGUACAUGAAUCUUGUUAAAUUCAACUUGCUAUUUUACUUUUUUUUUUUUUUAAAUUUUAAAUUCUUUUCUAUAUCAUACUUUGAAUCUUGUUUAAGGAAUCUUUGCAAGGAUAAGAUAUAUAUUGCCAAAUUGAUUAAAAUAAUUAUUAAUUUAAAAUUAAUAAUUCCUUUAUCCAUAACAGUACUGAUAAUAAAAUCCGAUUAUAUAUAGGCAUGCACACUUUUCCAUGGAGGAUUGAGAGUAAAAUUUUAUAGUGGGUAAUUAGGUGCAACCGUGUUGGUAGAUCUACCUACCUAAUAUUAAUUAAUGAUUGAAAAGAAGAACAUUUAGUUCAUAGUUAAACCAAGAUUGUUACAGAAAAGGGAAAAGACUAAGACAGUGCUCAUGAAGUGGAUAGAAAUAACAGAGAAAGAAAUAGCUAUAUACAAUAAAAUAUUUCUCCUAUAUAGCCAUAUAUACUUUAUAUACAAAUAAAAUAUUUCUCCUAUGUAGUCAUACUUUAUAUAGAAAUAAUUUUUAUUUAAUUAUAAAAAAGAUUUAAUCUCAAUUUAAGUUAGUUAUUAAUUUCAUACUCAAUUAAUGACACAUCAUUUGGAAUAACUUUUUGGGAUAAAAAAUUUGGGAUGUGUAGCACUACUGUCUAUGCUCUAUAUUAUAAUAAGUUAUAAUUUUUUAAGUCUUGUCUAAAAAGAAUUUGUCCCCGCAUAGUAAUUGUAUUUGUAUAUUGCAAAAAAGUAUAGACUCUUUUUUUUUAAUUAAGCCUACCUUUGCUAUCAAUUUCUGACAUAAUCCAGUAAUUAAUUAUUAAUAUAGUAAAUAUUUUACCUCUAAUUUAAUUACACGAAGGAUAACUAAGUGAAAACGAUAAUUUCUGUAACUAUAUCUUUACUAAGUUAAUUAUAAUAUUCUCGUAUUAAUAAAAUUAACUUACCCCAAUAUUAUGAUUAUAGAGAAAUUGGACUAUAUUUGCGAAUUUUGAAAAUGAUGGUCAUGACUUAUGUGCUCAAUCUGUGAUUUUACGUUGAGGUUGAUAGAGCUGAACCAUCAAAAACGUUUAAAGCAUAUUGUCGUUAGUCUUUGUUUCCGAAUAGACAAAAGUGUCAAAUACUAUGUUUAUCAAUAAGAACAUUAUUGAAUCUUUUUUUUUUUCUUUUUUAAAUGACAAAUGAGAGAUGAAUUCAAAUUAAUUAGGAAUUUUUAUCCGUUAUUUAUUAGAGUUGUGCUAGUUAUUUUUUUAAAAAAACUACUAAUUACAACAACCUUAAGUAAAACCAACAUAUAUUAUAUAGCUCAUCAUGUGAGCACAGAAUCCGACAUUCCUUUGAGACUUAUAUCUCUCUCAAAUUAAAAUGCCGCAAUCAAGAAUAUUAAACAAAGUAAUAAUCAAAAUAACAUUUUCCUUGCAACGACUCAUUAUGAUUCCUAGUGAAAUGGUUCGUUCGACCAAAAAAUGCUGGAAAAAAUGUAAUUCAAGUUGGCUUCCUCUUUCAUUCAGUUCAGAACUUUAGAUUAUUUGGUGUAAAUGAAGGGAAAAUGCCUACGAAUAUGUUUUCAGCUUGCCCGUCGUCUUUGGCCAGCUUCGAGUUGUUUUCGUAAUUACGUCGUCACAAAGACUGAUGCGGAGUAUGUAGAAAAUAGAAAAAGUCAUUCAAAGCCGUACAAAAGUGGAUAACCAAUCCAAUCCACUUUUGGCUCGUCAUUGAGUUCGAGGAUUUGACAAAUCACUUUUUGGUCUCCGGCGUGUGGUAUACACACUCCCUUUUAAUUACUAUUAACACCAUGUAUACAUAAAAGAUUUCAACCCUCCACAUGUAAGACCAUCGCUAAACCAAUAAGUUGUUCUCAGCACAAAAUGAAUAUUACUUAGUUAUGUCAUAAUUUUAUUAAUAAAGAAAGAAAUUAAUCUACAUCUUUUUUAAAAAUAAUUUUAAAAUUUGUUAAAUAGGCAAAUAUGGUUUUAAUCCCCAUAGUUUGAGUCAAUUAUUCAGUUUGGUCAAAUAUUAUAUUUUAAAAGAUUAUCUAAAUUAAGCAUCUCUUUACUUACUUUCUUAAUUAGUUGUUGGACAUAAAUUUUCAAAGCUAAAUUCUAUAUGAUAAAUUUUAAAACUCAAACUAAUUUAAUAUAUAGCAGAUAAAAGAUAAAAAAAUAAUUAAGUAAAUUUUAACCAAAAAAUAUAUAUAUCACGUAGAUUUUUUUGAGUAAAUUUCUAAAAAUAUAUUGACUCCUCCAUGGGUACGUAAACUACAGGGACAUUAUUGACUAUUCGUUGUGCGUGCACGUACAAUGACAUGUCAUGAGUUAUCCAUGGAGACUUUUCCAAGACAACAUUUUGUGAUGUACUAUAUGCAUACUUAAUUACAAGUGCAUUUGUUGGGUACAUGCAUGCAUGGACGUGGAAUUCCAUGCAUAAAAUGAUAAAAAUACUUUUUCAAUUUUUCUCAGUUUAAUUUGCAAAGAUGUUUCACCAUUAAUUUGAAGUCUUUAGGUCCGGAAAUCUCUAUUGAUCGUAUAUUUGUUCGUCUCUUGGCACACGCGCACACGCACACGCACAUCAAUAGAGUAAAACUAGUGCAAGAUAAAUCCACAUUAAUUUUAUUUUAUUUCUAAACAUUCUAUUAAAUUUCUCUAUUUUAGAGUCAAGUCAAAGUUGUACAAAAUGAAAAAGAGGGGGUUAAAAUGGAUGGAAAUGAGAAUAAAGAAAAUAGCUAGCUUUUUGAAGGAUCUUUUGAAGACGAUAGGCUUGUGCUCUUAUCACGAAGCUUUUACGUCUAAAACUGGUAGAAUUGACCCAGCAAAAAGGUUUAAUGAAUCCCCGUGAGAGUCUUUAAUGUGUUUCUGAGAAGAUAAUCAAUUAAUUAACAGCACCAAUUAAGUAGUUGAAUGAUCUACUAAGCAAGUUCAUAAAAUCUUAAUGUAUUCUAAUUGUUCGGAGAAAGUAUUUAAGAUCGAAUGAAAGAUGAAUUUCAAGAACUCUUCCAAUUGCAACCAGUCAUCAUGGAUAUUCCAAUCAGUGAAGGAUUCUUUCGACACAAGGAAAAAUAAAAGAUAAAAAAGGGUCAAUAAAGACGAUGGAGAAUAUUCGUAUAAAGUCUUUAACGUAUGUAAAUGUAAUGUAACUUUAAUUUGACAGCUGCCGCUGUGACGAAUCCCUUGCAACGUAAGCACAAUGACACAAAAGAGAGAGUGGAACACAAGCUAUCCAAAUUAAGUCAGUCAAGGUAGGUCAAACUAUCUUGCCAUUGUCGUUUUCGGGGAAAAAAUGUUAGAAUAAAAUGUUAAAAGAAAAUUUAGAAUGUCUGCUAACUACUAAUAUGAGAAGAGUAAUAAAGACUUUAGAAAAAAAAAAAAAACAGUUAGUGGCAGACAAUUAAUAGUUGUAAAAGGCUUAAAGUUGUUUCAUAUAACAUUUUAGAAUAAACUUCAAUUUGCACCUCACUUAAAAUGAUAGUCUUCGAUUUACUUCCAGGAGGAUAAGGCUCAAACUCACGUCUUUGGCCCUAAGAAGGCAAUGCUCGAGAUAAGUCUUUGGCUCUAUUAUCGACCAUACAAAGAACAUGCAUCUCUUUUUUAUUUUUCCCCCCCAAAAAAAAAGAAAUCCAUCACCGCAUCCUCAAUUUACUCUCACCUUAUUGAAUGAAAAUGAAGGCUAAAUUGAUAUUUUCACUCUUUUAGGUGAUAAAAUCAAGAUUGUUGUUCUAUCGGGAGAAUGAAUUAAAAUUUACCAACUUUUAAAAUUAGAUUUCUCCGGUAUGUCUCGAAAUGAUUGAGGCUAUAAUAAGUAUAGGUUUUAAUAAAAAGAAAUAUCGGUGGAUUGGUUGUCAAAUAUUCCCUUCACAAAGACAAAAUAUAGAUUUUAUUCUAAUUCUUCAUAGGCUUUAUUUGAUUAUUUCCAAUAACAAUCCAUUAUAACAGUGAAUAGCUUUCUGUCAAGAUUAAAAAAAAAAAUGGCAGCCGAAGUUAGUUAAGAUAUUGGAUUAGAAACACAGUUUGAGAAGCCAAACAAAAACGAUUCCUUGCAAGAAAUGUAUUAAAAACCUUGAAUCACUCAAUAUGUGUAACAAAUUUUCAAGUUACCUUCAAAAUUCCCAAAGCAAACUUGGCCAAAAUUUAAUUUUCCUCCCACAGAAACAAUUUUUUUUGCUUUGAGCAGGUAACUUUCACAGUAGGCUUUUCAACUCAAAAAAAGUCAUAUGCUAGUUAAAGACAAAUCCAGGUCUUCUAAAAGUAGCUUAGGAACCCUCGCUGCGAUAGGAAAUUCUUGUGCAUGAACAUGCAACUCAAGCAAGCACACAUUAUGACAUAAUGGAACCAAAUUAAGUGUCGAACAAAAUACAGAAUGAAAAGAGUUAUAUCAUUGGUAGAAAGUUGUAUUGCUAACUGCUUGACACCAUCAUUCAACUAAUUUUAUGGCCUGACCAUCAGUGACAAAAUGCAACAAAUAUUUUCUAUGAAGUCAUAAAGUUUCCCAAGAGAGCUAAUUGGUUUGACAGGUUUAAAAUAUACUUUCAACGCAAAAAAGCUGUCUACAAUUAAACUUUUAUUAAGACUCAUAUACAGAAAGAAAUUUGCUAACGAAGAAACAAACAGUACAAAGGAUGAAUAGUAAAAAUGUCAUCGGUAACACAUAGAUGGACCGGAAAAGGAGUACCUUGAUGAUACUGGUGCAGCUACCAAAUCUGGCUUGCGCCCUUCGUAUGGGUGUUGCCUGUUGUAGUUUGAUAAAGCACUUGUGGCAUACAAUGAGUAUAGCCUAUCAGCUUGAUCAGUUUCUCCCCUUCUUAAGGGAUCAGUUCCGACCAAAUAAUGUUCUCUCUGUCUAGCAGCGGAGUAGGAACCUGAGGUGAUGUCUUCUCUCCUCAAGAAGGGGAUCUGGCUUGGUCUUCUCGCUGCACAUAAACAUCAAACCAUCAAGCUUAUCUUUUCUCAUUUCCUUCUCUUGGCUCUUUCCUGCGUCUCCUUGUUUCUCUUUGUCCUUGUGAUGCUUCGAACUCGUCUGACACAGGAAUCUUCUCUACACAUCUUUGCUUCCAGUGAUUUUUAUCUGCCCCACCAAUCUCCUCUUCACAUCUUUGUUUCCGGUGAUUCUUAUCGGACCGACCAAUCUCCUCUUGCUUCUUUUUUAUUCUGCUGGCUUGUCUUGGGUCCUUUUCUUUAGAAAGGUUCUCAUUUAGGUUUUCUUCCCUUGCAUUUAGCUUCUUAGAACUCUCUCCUUCAAUGUUGUUAUUAUCUCAUUUAGGUUUCCCUCUCUUGAAUUUAGCUUCUUAGAACUCUCUCCUUCAAUGCUGUUAUUAUCAUUCUUCUCAUCUAAUAAAUUUUUGUUCUUCUUCCUUCUGAAUCUACUCCAAGCUCGUGCAGCAACUUUGGCGUUUUCGGUCUUCAAGUCAUUAACUGGUGACUUUGUUAAGCAAAUAAAAGCACCAGGUCGGCCAUGCUACUAUUUCCACCCCGGCACGAAUCACCUCAGCCAAAUGGUACGAGCAGAACAGGGGGCAACAUGAGCUGAUCAGAGACGAAUACUGACCAGAGGUAUAUACCGAGCCGAUACACGUCCCCCAAAAAGCGGAAACACGAUCUCACAGAAUCACGGUAGUUGCGCUUUCCCCAGAACCGUUGCGGGAGACGCGAGAUCCCACGUUUGCCCAUAAUGCAGCAGUUAGAGUCCCAUGAGGGGCUGCCACUACCCGAAAAAGGUGGGAUGAAGGGCAAACGAGAACGUGGGGACAGCGGCUAUAAAAGAAGAAGAAAUCGAUGAAGAAAGGGAUAGAAAAAUUGAGAGAAGGGAAAACUCUGCCAAAUUGCAACCAGGCCAUUUUCUUACAGAUUUCGAACAAACCUCUUGAAUCCAAAUUGUAUUGUUUUCCCGUAAACACCUUGUACUAACUUAGGCAUCGGAGGGUUUACGCCGGCAAAACCACCGGCGUCUCUGAUCCGUUUUUGGUGAACGCAGGUCUAGUAAGAGAAUGGAGGGUGAUUCCAACCUUAGUGGUUCGAGCAACAGUCGAUAACAUAAACGUUGGUGAAAGGAUUUGGUCGGUCAAAAGGGCGAGCAGAUUUCGGCAUCAACAUUUUGGCGCCGUCUGUGGGGAGCUGGAUAAAAAGCUACCACCGAAUUAGUAGUUACCGGAGAAACAACGAACGAUUAGACAUGGAUUUGCCAAGGAAGGACGCUUUGAGGGAGGAUAACGAAGCUGGGGAGACAAUCACUCUUCGGGAAAUUGCAAAUGAGGCCUGGGAGAGGAUGAUGCAAGAUCGAUUUGAGCGGAUGGAGAAACAAAUGGAAACUCUCGCAACCAUACUGCACGAGCUGAGAGAUGAGCGGAGAAGGGAUUGUGAAACCUCCGGGGGGAGAGAUGAUGUUGGAGCAGAACCCAGCCUCCAGAGUCGUAGAGUCGAGGAAAUUCCUCCGCCUGCAGACCAACCUAACGGGGUGCAUCCCCACAGAAGCGUUGGUCCGGUUUCAGGAGAACGAGUAGAUGAAGGAAGGGACCAGCCUCUCCCCGGACGGGUACUGGAAGUCAAUAGCCGAGGGGCCAUUGUUGAUGAAAGAGAGCUCAGACAUUGGUUGCACAAUGCCGAGCUAGAACGAGACCGGAUGGCUGUACGUGAUCCUGACCGUGCCGUAGAAUUAGAAGGGGAGGUGCGCAGAUUGGCGCAGGUGAUGGAGGAGAUACAAGGCAAGAGAAAGCCCCCGAGCUGGAGGAUAAUGCUGGAUGAAGAAUCCCUGUUAUCAACCGAGAUCAUGGGUACGGUAAUCCCAAGAGAUUUCCGCUUCCCCGACCUCAAAUACUCCGGUCGAAGUGACCCUCUGGUGCAUAUUGAGCGUUUCAACGAUAUGACGGGGGUGCAGGGGUUGACACCAGCUCAGAAGUGUAGGGUGUUCCCGUUGACUCUCGAGGGGCGAGCCCGAGAAUGGUACCGCAAGCUGCCCCGAUGAGGUAUAAAAGGGUACGAGCAGAUGUGCCAAGAGUUAGCCGAAUAGUUCCGAGGGGCGGUAACCUCAGAGGAUGACAUGAUGGAACUGAUGGGGAUGAAACAGGAGGAGCAUGAGUCCCUUCGGGAUUUUGUAAAGCGAUAUCACCGGGCCGUGCUAGAUUUGGGAGCCAUUAAUCACCCAUAGGCGCUGAUGGGAUUAAAAGAAGGUGUAAGAAUUGGCCGAUUGUGGUAUAACUUGAGAAGCCCCCUGGUGCAGAAUUAUUCGGCGGGGUAUGAACAGGAGAGGCGAGACAUAGAAUUCGAAGAGGAGAAAUCGGCAAGGAUAAAGAGUGAACAACUAGAAGAGUUGAGGCGAAAAGAACGGAGAGUCCCGAUCGGGAGCAGAUCGGGAAAGCGAGCUGGGGAAUCAUCAGUUAUGGGCGGAAUAUCAGCUCGGUCCCGCCCUUACCCCAUAGCUCAGAGGCCACAACAGUUCCAACACAGCCGAGCCCAACCUCCGCGCACCCCGUUCCCGGAGCGGCAACGAGAAUUCAGGCAGAUGACUGCCCACCCUUAUCACAACACUCCCAGAGGGUUACAUGCAACUGGUUCCAGGGCUGGACGACCAGAUCAACUAGCGACUGUACCAGCCCGAGAUGACAUUCAUGAUAGCCGAGUAGUUCAGCUAGUAGACCAGCGCUUGGCAUAUAGACAGUACACUCCAUUAAAGAUCUCCAUGGAGGAAUUGUAUGAGAGGAUCGAGGGAUGAAGCCUGCUGUACCCUCCAGUCCCUAUAACAAAACCGGCUCACCGACGGGAUAAGAGCAGAUUCUACAAAUUUCACAACACUCACGGUCACACUGUCAGCCAAUGUCGUGACCUGAAGACUCAGGUGGAGGAUUUAGUGAGGAACCGAUACUUGGAUGAGUAUGUAGAUGGAAUGUCCCCCGUCAUUGAAUCACAGUACACGCGGGAUGAAGAAAAUGAGAGGGGCCUGGAACGUGAACAGCCAACUAUCCACGUGAUAGCAGGAGGGCCAACCUUGGCUGGGGAUUCGAACAGGGCACGGAAGAACCAUGGGAGAUACGCCCUGACUAGCAAAGAAGUGCUUUUCAAUCUGCCAGCAACCAAGAAGGCAAAAGUGCGGCAAGUUCCUAUUAUGUGGACAGAUGACGAUGAAGAGGGUAUCUUAUAUCCUCAUGAAGAUGCAUUGGUGAUUAAGGCAAUGGUGGCCGGUACAGAAUUGCGACGAAUACUAGUAGACACAGGCAGCUCGGUUGACAUCCUGUUUAAGUCGGCUCUAGAUGAUAUGGGGAUUGCAGACUUGAAAUUGGAGCGGACAAAUACAUCCUUAAAGGGAUUUGGAGGGGGACGGCUAACUCCCAUGGGGAUCAUCGAACUCCCAGUUACUAUGGAGACAAAGCCAUUUGAAAGAACGAUGAUGCUGGACUUUGUCGUGGUAGAGGAAAGAAGCCCUUACCAGAUGAUACUGGGGAGACCAUUCAUGAGGAUAAGCCAAUGCGUUGUAUCCACGCAUUACUUGGCACUGAAGUACAGAGUAAAUGGGGUGGUUGGUGUAGUAAAAGGUGACCAGAGAAUGGCAAGGAGCUGUUAUGCUACAGCAGCCAAGGAGACACUACAGGUUACUUCUCUAGAUAAUCGAGGAGAUUCUAAAAAGGGUCGCCAAGAGCCUGUCGAGAAACUAGAAGAGAUUUUGAUAAGCAAAAACAAUCCGAGCAGAGUGGUUAGGAUCGGAUCAGGUUUGGUCGGGGCAGUGAAAGGCGAGUUGGUGAAGUGCUUACAGUCUCACGCAGACAUAUUCGCCUGGUCUCACGAGGACAUACCAGGAAUUGAUCGUGAGGUAGCUUGCCAUAAAUUGGCAAUCAAGAAGGGGGCGAGGCCGGUGAGGCAGAAAAGAAGAUGCUUUAACCAAGAAAGGUACGAAGCCAUAAAUGCCGAGGUGGAGAAGCUGUUAAAAGCAGGAUUUAUAAGGGAGGCCAAAUACCCGGAGUGGAUUUCCAACGUAGUACUGGUAAAGAAGGCCAACGGGAAAUAGAGAAUGUGUGUGGAUUUCACAAACCUUAAUAAGGCAUGCCCGAAGGACAAUUUUCCCUUACCAAAGAUAGAUCAAUUGGUAGACUCCAUAGCGGGUCACAGUCUGCUCAGCUUCAUGGAUGCCUUUUCAGGAUACAACCAGAUACCCAUGGACGAGCAGGAUAAGGAGAACACCACCUUUAUAACUAACAUGGGUUUGUUUUGCUACAUGGUGAUGCCUUUCGGCCUGAAAAAUACAGGAGCUACCUAUCAAAGGUUGGUGAACCAGAUCUUCAAGCCCUUGAUCGAUCAUACAAUGGAGGUAUAUGUGGACGAUAUGAUCACAAAGUCUAAAGAACCGAGGGAUCACGUGAAGCACCUUGAAGAAACCUUUGAGUUACUGAGGAAGUAUGAAAUGAAGCUAAACCCGGAGAAAUGUGCAUUUGGGGUCAGCUCGGGCAAAUUUUUGGGAUUCCUGGUGAGUCACCAAGGGAUUGAGGCCAACCCAGAAAAAAUACGGGCGGUUACGGAGAUGAGGUCUCCACGGACAGUUAAGGAGGUGCAGAGCCUUACAGGGAAGUUGGCAACACUGAACCGAUUCAUCUCGAGGGCCACAGAUAAAUGCCACCCUUUCUUCCAAACCAUAAAGAAAUGGAGAAAGAUGGAGUGGACAUCAGAGUGCGAAGAAGCAUUUGGGCAGCUGAAGGAAUAUCUGACCCGCGCCCCGUUGCUAUCAACUCCAAGAGCGGGUGACCAGCUGUUUCUGUACUUAGCAAUCUCUAAAUGGGCUACCAGCUCGGUUUUGGUCAGGGAAGAAGAAGGAAAGCAACACCCGGUAUACUACACAAGCAAGGCCCUGGUAGACGCAGAAACCAGAUAUCCAUUGCUGGAGAGAUGGGCGUUGGCUCUAAUAAUGGCAGCACGAAAACUCCGACCAUAUUUUCAGGCCCACCAGAUUGUUGUGAUGACUGACCAGUCCCUUCGUCAAACGCUUCAAAAAACAGAUGCAUCCGGUCGGUUAGUAAAAUGGUCCGUGGAGCUAAGCGAAUUUGACCUAUCCUACAGGCCCCGAGGAGCAAUCAAAGCUCAAGCUUUGGCAGAAUUUAUGGUAGACCGAGCUGAGCCAGGGGAAGAAAUUCGGGAGGAGCAACCGAUAGAGCAGGAGAAACCAGAGGGGGUGUGGCUAGUAAUGGUUGACGGAUCAUGUAGUGAGCAAGGGUCAGGAGCAGGAGUUGUAAUACGAAGCCCAGAAGGAACCGAAAUAAUGUAUGCAGUGAAGUUCGAAUUUCAGUUCACGAACAACCAAGCUGAAUAUGAAGCCUUUAUCACCGGGCUCGGACUGGCACACGCUUUAAGAGCAGAGAUGGUAGAAAUUCGAGCGGACUCCCAAUUAGUAUGUAAUCAGCUCAAUGACCAGUUCCAAGCAAGGGGAGAGAAGAUGGGUCUUUAUCUGAAGAAAGCAAAGCAGAUGGUUGGGCUUUUCCAAGAGGUGGAGGUAAACCAGAUAUAUCGGAAUGAGAAUUACCGAGCAGAUAUGUUGGCUAGGAUGGCUGCAAUUGCAGAUCCGAAAUUACCUAAGUCGGUUCCACUAGAGGUAAAGACCUCACCAAGUAUAGGAGAGGAGGUAGAGGUGAUGAGAGUAAGCAUUGGAGAGUCAUGGAUGGACCCGAUUCGCGCAUAUGUCCGGGAUGGAAUCUUACCAGAGGACAAAAGGCAAGCAAGGAUAUUAAAAUGCCGAGCAGCGAGGUACACGCUACUAGAUGGAGUGCUGUAUCGCCGAGGAUUCACCUUGCCCCUUUUGAGAUGUGUGGAUGAUGAGGAGGCAGAUUAUGUACUGAGGGAGAUUCAUGAAGGAAUAUGCGGCAAUCACUCGGGAGCAAGAACUUUAGCCUUCAAGGCACUCCGACAAGGAUACUUCUGGCCAACCAUGCACCAGGAUGCGAAAAGGAUGGCAAAGAACUGUAAAACCUGCCAAAGCUUCUCUGAGGUUCCUGCACAACCCCCAGAAAAGCUGACCACUAUGACAUCCCCGUGGCCUUUCGCUCAAUGGGGAAUCAACUUGAUUGGUCCGUUGCCUAAAGGCCGAGGAGCGGCGACACAUGCAAUUGUGGUAAUAGACUACUUCACCAAGUGGGUAGAAGUGGGAGUCCUCAGCCAAAUCACGGAGAGGAAGACAACAGAUUUUAUUUGGAGGAAUAUCAUCUGCAGAUACGGGAUCUCCUAUGCUAUCAUUACAGACAAUGGGAGACAAUUUGACAACAGCAACUUCAGGAAAUUUUGCCGAAAUUUGGGGGUGGACCUGAAGUUCUGCACCCCCGCACACCCCCAGGCAAACGGACAAGUGGAAGCAGCCAACAAAGUAAUAAAGAAGCUCUUGAAAACUAGAUUGGGAGAGAAGAAGGGAGCCUGGGUUGACGAACUACCAGGAGUAUUAUGGGCUUACCGGACAACUCACAAAACCGCCACAGGGGAAACCCCGUUCGCUUUAGCUUUUGGUCAUGAGGCGGUAGUCCCAGCAGAAAUCGGAGUGGGGACACAUCGAACGAAAUAUUUCGCUGAGGAGCAAAACGACGAGCAGAUCUGCUUAAGCCUGGACCUGCUUGAGGAGAAAAGGGAAGGGGCCUCGCAGAAAGUGGCCCAGUGUCAGCAACGGGUCAUGCGCUAUUACAACAAGAACGUACGCAUGAGGCAGUUCCGAGCAGGAGAUUGGGCACUUAGGAAGGUGGACCAAAACACCAGGGAUCCUAACCAUGGCGCUCUUGGCCCAAAAUGGGAAGGCCUGUACAGAGUGAUACGAGCCACUGGACCAGGAGCUUAUAAGUUAGCGUACCAAGAUGGACGAGACGUGAAGAGGUCAUGGAACGCCGAGCACUUGAAGAAGUAUUUCCAGUAAGCAAAGUGCUCUCCUAAAUCCUCAUUUUGACAAAUUGUUUGUGUUAACUGCAUGAUGACUUGAUGCAUAUGUAUGUAUUCAGUAUUUUUGUAAUACAUUCAAGUUUCAAAUAAAGAUGAAUUCAGCAUGAAAUCCCCCUGCUAGCAAGCCAAAUAAAAAUUUUACUAAGGCAAAUAAGUGCCUAUUUCUGCUCGGUCAACGAAAGAUCAGCAGCUAAUUUUACGAGAAUUUUUACUAAGGCAAGCAAGUGCAUGUUUCUGCUCGGUCAACGAAAGAUCAGCAGCUAAUUCUACAAAAAUUCUACUAAGGCAAGCAAGUGCCUGUUUCUGCUCGGUCAACGAAAGACCAGCAGCUAAUUCUACAAAAAUUCUACUAAGGCAAAUAAGUGCCUGUUUAUGCUCGGUCAGCGAAAGAUCAGCAGCUAAUUUUACGAGAAUUUUUACUAAGGCAAGCAAGUGCCUGUUUCUGCUCGGUCAACGAAAGACCAGCAACUAAUUCUACAAAAAUUCUACUAAGGCAAAUAAGUGCCUGCUUCUGUUCGGUCAGCGAAAGAUCAGCAGCUAAUUUUACGGAAUUUUUACUAAGGCAAGCAAGUGCCUGUUUCUGCUCAGUCAGCGAAAGAUCAGCAGUUAAUUUUACAAGAAUUUUAACUAAGGCAAGCAAGUGCCUGUUUCUGCUCGGUCAAAGAAAGACCAGCAACUAAUUCCACAAAAUUCUACUAAGGCAAAUAAGUGCCUAUUUCUACUCGGUCAACGAAAGACCAGCAGCUAUUUUAACGAAAGUUUUACUAAGGCAAGUAAAUGCCUAUUCCUGCUCGGUCCACUAAAGAACCAACAGGAAAAAUCAAAUAAAUUAUCAAAUUAGUUUGCAGAAACAAUCCAGAAGCAAAAAUGAGAAAAGAAGGCCAGUAAAGAACAUCCAAAAAUUUAUAAACAUUUAAAUGUUUACAAAACUAAUGAAAAUCUAAAGUCUAUACAAAAAUAGACCUAAGGAUUAGGAGGGUCAACGGCUUCAGCCGGUGAAGGAUCAGCUAUCUCUAGAGGUGGAAGAUCAGCAAUACCGGGAGGAGGCGGCAUGGACCCUUGUCCCACUUCCAAGGCACGUCCCCCAGCUUCCCCCUCCUACACCCCAUCUAAAGGAGCCUCCACCUAAUCCUGCUCACCCUGCUCCUUAUCUGCUUGGCCGAUCUCCGCCAUAUAUCGCUGCACUCCGGCCUCCAGCUUGCUAAUGUCCAGCUCGGGAUAUUCUUCCUUAAGCACAGACAUGAUGCACUUAUAGGAGAAGGCAACCCCAGAAUCAUACUCGGCAUCCAGCCGAUCGUUCACAUCAGCGGAUUUGCCUUUCUCCUCAGCCAGCUGCUCACCCAAGGAUUUGAUUUCCCCCUCAAGGGCGGCCCUCAGAGUAUCCCUUUCACUUUGAGUAGCCUGAAGAUCAGAUCUCAGGUCACCCAACUCACCCUCGAGUUUGGAGGAAGUGGAUUCAGCAACCGCAACUUUCUCCUCUAGCUCCGUAAUCUGCUUGUUCAGCUCAGCCAGCUUCUCCUUGGAGCGAUCAACAGAUUCAGCUUUCUUCUUCAAUUCCUGAUUGUCAGCUUGAAGCUUCCUCUCAUGGCGCGCGGACCCAGUCUUGUAGCACGAAACCAUGGUGGCCAGCCUGAAGGACACUCUCUGAACAUAAGCAGCUAACUCGGAGAGGUUCAUACUCUCGAUGUCCUUCACCAUCUUGGGCCCCACCGAUUUUUUGUAAUCCUUCUGAUACGGGCUCAGGUAGUCACCUUGAUCCCGAGAUGGUAGAGGAGAAGAUCGGUCCCCAGACUGGAAGCUGACCUCAGGACUCUUGUCAGAAGUUUUCUCCCCACCACUCUUACGGGGUGGGGGAGGGGGCAGAGCAGGGACAUGAGCCUUGGAAGGGCCGACGCUGGUUUUCUUUGGAGGAGGAGGAGGGUUGCUGGAGCUGCUUGGAGCCCGACCACGCUUCCUGCUCAUCGCGCUGAGGAUCUUGUUAUCCAUUCCAGCGGCUAUGUCCACUAGGCCCGAACCGACCAGGUUUGUUGGUGACAGGAGGUCUUGGCAGGUAGACGCGUUCACCAGAGUAGUUUCCACCUGAAGCAAAGGUCGAUCUUCAAGCCCCCCGAUCAAACCCCACAACUCUGAAAUAGCAAAAGAGGUUAAAGAACUCGAUAAGUGACAAUUUGACUAAGAACAUAGGCAAAAAUAAACGACAUGGGGUGACAAAAUGUAUGGGAAGAUAAAUGUCCCCACCAAGCGACCGAACUGCUGGACACCAGUUCCCUCCAGCAAAGAAGAAUUUGUUCUUAUAAUUUUUACAUGAAGAGGGAAACCCAGUGAUCGGUUUCCUCUUUGCAAAACUGGACAUAAAGUAGUACCAGCCCGCUUCCCUCGGGCUACUCCGCAGCUGGUACAGAUGUUUCACUUCAACAAGGGAAGGCUCCUCCGACCCGCACCUCUCCCACAACACAAACAUUGCCGAGAGAACCCUCCACCCAUUUGGGUGUAGCUGACCUGGGGCUAGGUGCAUACCGCCCAGUAUCUUGGCAAAAUAACGUUGAAGGGGCAGCCGAGCUCCUAGUCUGAAACUCUCCAAGUGCAUCGUCACAUACCCUUUCGGAGGCCGACUAGGGACAUCAUCUUUUCCAGGAACUACAAGAAGAACCUCGUUGGGGAUAUUGUAGAGGUUCCUAAGCUUAAAUAGAUCAGUGGGGGUGGUGGCGCAAGCUAUGAAAUCAAUAGGGUAGGAAUCAGCCUCCACAGUAUGGCCAAGAUUCCUUUUCUUAGCAGGUCCGCUCGGUCUGGAACUGCUCCCCUCACCAUCACCAACUCCUUCAGGGAUCCCAACCCCACCGAAGCUGUGGUUCUCACCAGAGCCCGACGUAGGUCCACCUCUAUUCCCUACAAGCUCUAGUUCGGGGGAGGGAGAGACAACCAAGGGGCGUGGGUACUCAAGGGUAUCCAUGCCAUGGGAAUGACCUACACUACUGGAGGGACCUAAGAAAUCGGUCGGUAUUGACACGUUGAGGCCUGAAUCCCCUGAUUCUUUAUCACCCUCAUCAACAAUUAACUUUCUUUUCCUAUUUGACAUAUCGGAAUCCCAAAAGAAAACAAAGAAAACUCGAAUAUACGGAUACAAAAGGGGGCAACACGGAACCCAAUCAACAACAACCAGAGAAGAGAUUAAAAGUAGUACCUGAAAUGAACUGGCCCUGAUAGCGCUGCCGUGACAGAGAAAAAACCAGCAAGUAGAAACUCUGGACGCAGGAAGUGUGAGUAAAGUUCAGAAAGGGGGUAGGUUAACGACGGAGAGACGAGUAACAAAACGAUGACGAUGUAAAUCUAGGUAUUUGAAACGAAAAGGGGGAAAUGAAAGCAUUUAAGUGAUGGAGAUGCCAGCUCACUCAUCGUACAUCGAGGACAGAUAGCCCGUCGUUUCAAAUUUCAAAUACGAAGAGUCUGGAGAUGUCACGUCACUAACCGCUACAAGGGGCCAGGCUAGAUGUGAGCCCAAAUACGCAAUGGACAUGCUCAGGUCAAAAUCUCCCCUGAAGAAAAAUGAUACCUCAGGUCCGUCCCGGUAGACAGAAGACCAGAGGAGAAGCCCCCGGAUUGGUAAGAUUUGACUAUCAGUUUCUACUCUUGACUCAUUUCACUCACAAGACCAGAAACUGGGGGACUGGUGUUAAGCAAAUAAAAGCACCAGGUCGGCCAUGCUACUAUUUCCACCCCGGCACGAAUCACCUCAGCCAAAUGGUACGAGCAGAACAGGGGGCAACAUGAGCUGAUCAGAGACGAAUACUGACCAGAGGUAUAUACCGAGCCGAUACCCGUCCCCCAAAAAGCGGAAACACGAUCUCACAGAAUCACGAUAGUUGCGCUUUCCCCAGAACCGUUGCGGGAGACGCGAGAUCCCACGUUUGCCCAUAAUGCAGCAGUUAGAGUCCUAUGAGGGGCUGCCACUACCCGAAAAAGGUGGGAUGAAGGGCAAACGGGAACGUGGGGACAACGGCUAUAAAAGAAGAAGAAAUCGAUGAAGAAAGGGAUAGAAAAAUUGAGAGAAGGGAAAACUCUGCCAAAUUGCAACCAGGCCAUUUUCUUACAGAUUUCGAACAAACCUCUUGAAUCCAAAUUGUAUUGUUUUCCCGUAAACACCUUGUAAUAACUUAGGCAUCGGAGGGUUUACGCCGGCAAAACCACCGGCGUCUAUGAUCCGUUUUUGGUGAACGCAGGUCUAGUAAGAGAAUGGAGGGUGAUUCCAACCUUAGUGGUUCGAGCAACAGUCGAUAACAUAAACGUUGGUGAAAGGAUUUGGUCAGUCAAAAGGGCGAGCAGAUUUCGGCAUCAACAGACUUCUUUGCAAUUUUAGAUCUGGCCUUCAAUGAUUUAUGGAUUUUAUUUUCAGAUGAUUUUGCUUCGGUUGAGGCUUCCCCAGCAUUCCCAUCUUCCUUCUUCUCUUCAUUUUCUUGUGCCAUAGUCUACCCAAAUAACCAGGCUCCCAACAGACCAUAAUUUAGGGAUUAUUCUGUUGUUCACUAUUUAAAAUAUGAAAUACAAAACUCAAAAGCCCGGCAAAGGAAUGAAAGAAGCUGAAGAAGUGAAAAUGCAUCAAAAUUUGCAAGAAAAUAAUAAAUAUACAAUGCCUUCAUAAUGCAUAUAGCAGAUGGUGGCUAAUUGCCAAUUACUUGACAAUGAUAGGCAAAUUCUUCUGUCAGAAAGCGGGGUGAAAAAGGUCAGAAUCUUGAGACCUGCUCAAUCACAAGAUUGCAACAAAAAGGAGUCUGAUAAUAUACAAUGGGCAAUAAGAGAGAUUGGGUGUAUUGAAAUUAUGGUAGUGAGCUAAAAUAUUAUAAUAUUUGUAAUUCGCAUAUCACUAGAAAAAUAUUUUUCUUAUGUUUUCGCCCAUGAAUCUAGAUUAAAAGUUGAACCACCUAAAUUUUGAUGUCCCUAUGUGAUUUUGUUGUCUCAUGAUUUUUUAAUUUCACUUUAAUUGCAUAUCUGCUUCACCAAUCAAUAUGCAUUGAAGAAUGCUUACAUUAGUUUGUGUUUGGCUCAUCAUCACAACCAUUUCAUUCAAGAAAUCUCCUAUUCCCUCAAAACAAAACUAAAAAGUCUCAUGUAAUAAAAUCCUCCCCCGUUCCCCCCUCCCCUCUUCUUGUGGGAGUUAAUUUUGCUGUAUCUUCAAAGCAACAAAAGCGCAUUAAAAAGUUAAAGAUGAAAUGAAAUCAAUAUAUAUAUAUAUAUAGAGGGAGAGAGAGAGAGACACACACACACACACAAAAUUGGAGCUCAUAUUAUUUUAUUCAUCAUCACUAUCAUGGACUCCUACAUAGUACAAGAACCUCUUGUUGGCAACAAAUAGAACUUGAAGAGAGAAGAAGGAAAACAACAUCUCGUGAAUCCGAUAAUUAUCCGUCAUUAUAAAAAGGAUUACAAUUUUAUUUCUUAUUGUAUACUACAAAUUACAUGCAUAAUAAAUAAAUAAAUAAGAAUUAAAAAUUUUGGAAUUUAGUAAGGUUAACAGCAGAAUAGGCAUGUUGAAUGGCGUAAAAUCUCUUCGUGGCUUCUUUCACAAAAUUUGAAUCUCUUGAAGUUGAACAACGGCUUGGAUAUAUAGAGCCACAAUCACCUUGUAAAAAAAAAUUCAUACAGAUGUUGCAUGAGAAGAUUGGUUGUAUAAAACUAUUAUAGACCCACAUAAUUUACAAAAAUAAUAGUUAUCGCUUUUUAACUAAUGUCUUUAUGCCACAUUAGUUUGUUUACACAAGUUCAUAUAAAAAUGUUUGUGGUUACAUCAUUAUUGAUUUUGAAAAUAAUAUUUUAAUAUUUUUAUCUCAAAUGAUAGGAUAUUUUUUGACACAUUGGAUGCUUUUGGAUUUAAUGAUACCUUUGUAUAUUUUAUUUAUUAUUUCAUCUAACAUUGUUUGAUGAGUGAUGAUAGAGUUAAAAGCUCUUGUAUAAACUUAUUUUAUAUAUAUUGAUGAAAUUUAAAUUUAUUGGUUGAAUAAAAUUACCAAAUAAUAAAAAUAAAUAAUAUGAGCCAAGAGUUAGGGUUAGCCAAACUCAAUCCAACCCGAUGAACACAAUCCAACUCAAUCUAAUCUAAUCAAAUUUUGAUGGGUUGAGUGAAUUAUUAUAAGGUUAAUUAGGUAAAUUUUUUCGAAUCCAAUUAAUAAUUGAGUUGAGUUAGGUUUGGUUAAUUAUGAUGAACCUGUCUUACCCAACCCCAUCCAUGUAAAUAAUAGUAAUAGUAAUAAUAGUUAGGCAUCCAGUACUGCUUACCAAAUAGAAGCUAAUUCCUGCAAUUUACAUGAAAAUUGCACGAAAUAUCACUAUCCUUAUUUUCUUGAUUUCACCUUCAUUGUGUAUUUUUCUCCAGAAAUUCCAAACUUACGAAGAGGAUUCGGGCCACGUUCUAUGCAUCAUAUGGAAUGCGGCCAUUUUUCUGUGUAAUUUGUGAGGCGUUAUAUUACAUGGAGCUUGACUUCUUUCUUUCUAUGAAUGGUCAGAUGGCAUUGGUGAGAGGUUCUUCUGCUUCUUUGUUGAUUGUUCUGCUUUUGGCUUUUUUAUUAAAGUUAUUUUGAAUCCGCUUUCAGAUUGUGUGUUUAAUGAUUUGAUUAAAUUUGUGUUUAGUUAAAUGUAUUUGGAUUUCUGGAGUAUUUCAGCAGUUAAUGAUGAAAUUCAGCAUUAAAUUAACUUAUAAUCAUUCUAAUUAUCGAUUUUUUUUGUCAUGAAACAUCAUUAAGCACCUGCCAAAGACUGAAAGACACCAGUUUAAGGGUGCAUUUGUGAUUGAAGUUGGGCAGCUAUAGUUUAAAAGUUACAGCACUAAAGUGUUUGAUAAACACUAACUGAUGUAGCUUUGAAGAUAUGUUGAUAUGAUUUUUCACUUAUAUAAUAAAAAAUAUAUUAUAUCUUUAAUAAUUUUAUCAAAAUUAUUAUUUAAAAUUUAUAUUUAUUAUAUAUUACUAACUUUUAUUUCAUAAUUAUAAUUUUUUUUCACAGCAGCUGUAGCCCAGUCCCAAACGCACUCUAAUUUUUAUCUCUCAACACUCUGUUUUGCACCAAGGUAUCCAAUAUAUACUAGUUUAUUAAAUAAUUUUGAUUAGUGCUGAUUGCUAGUGUAUCAGUCUCCUAAUUAAUUAAAUGUGAAAACAUUCUAUUAUAUACUAGUCGAUUGAUUUUUCUUUUAAUCUUCCUGUUAUAUUCCACGACAGAGCUGAUUUAAAGACUUGGCCCAACUCUUCCCUCUAUGUUCAUUAAAUGUUAAUAUUUUUCUGCACCAAGGUUGACUUGAUGGUGCGUUAUUUUCAAUUUUUUUCAUUGACUUGUAUUUUUGUUUAAAUAUUGACAAAAAAUUAAGAAAGCAAUCAGCUCUUGUAACGUGCUCUGUUCUGUUUUCCACCAAAAAUAUAAUCAUUUAUUACCUCUAUCUUAUCAAAUAAUCAUGAUUAAUGCUGCUGGGAAAGUUCUAUUAGUCUUUCUUUUGAUAUAUCUUUACCAAUCUCAUCAGCUUUUGCCUCUUUUAUGAUGUGUUUUUUUAUUUUUUAACUCUUCUCAACCUUGGACGUGAGCCUGAUUCAAGCAGUAUUAUCACUCGUGUAAUUUAUUAAUGAGCUCUUUUCCCGUCAUAUAAUGCCGAUGCUUAUAUAUUCUACUCUUACCAUUCGAUUUUUGUACGCCUAGUACUUGUAGAUCAUUUUAAUUAUAUAUAUACUUCAUACUUGAUGGAGUGAAUAUAAUGCAUAAGAUAUUCAUUCAGUUAUAUGUAGAUAUAUUAAACUUUAGUUUAUGUACUAGACUAACUAAUGGACUUCUAACCUAAAUCAUCGAUAGAUUCUUAAGAUAAUUAGGCUUAAAUACGCAAUCGUCACUAAUUAUUAAUAAUUCAUGAAACCUCUAUUGCAACAGUGAUGAGAAUUGAAGUAUUAGUUGCUCUGGUUAUUCACAUCAUGACAAAUAAAUAGAGAGAUUUUGGCGGUUUCCUCCAUAAAUUUAUCACCUCAUCAUCCUCAAUUAUAUCCGAAACUCUUUACAAUCCCUAAUAUAUUUUAAAAGGUUUACUUUUGACAUUUUAAUAACUUCAAUUAGAUUCUCAAAAAAAAAAUUAAUAAUAAUAACUUCAAUUAGACCAAGCAUAUUUAGUUUCUUGAAGAUUUAUUCCUGAAAAAUCCAACCUGAUUUUUUUUAACUUUUUUUUUUAUAUUUUAUUAACAACUACUUUCUAAUAUUUGUUUAUUAAUCAAGAUAGAAUUGGAGUUUAAUGAUAAAAUGAUCACGAUUUUAAUUUAAAGAUUUGAGCCCAAAAUCACUUGGCUAUCAUAUAUACUCAAUAAUCACUUGAUUAUCAUACUCAUAUAUUACUCAAUAAUCAAAGCUAAUUAUUACUGAAUAAUCACUUGAUUAUUUGAAAAAUGCUGGCAGCACUUGCAACUCCCUGGAACCCUCGUGUAAGUGUAGAUUCCGAGUACAUCAACUGUUCGAAAAAAUGCCCAUUUGAAGAAGUUGAGGACCCGGGGACCCGCCACUGGUACUAUAAGUCUCAUCUUUUGUCUUUUUAUUUGUAUAUCUAUUUUUUUUAUUAAAAAAAAUUGAUAAUAAAGUCCGCAAAAAGUUUGUAGGAGGGUAAUUAGAAAAGCACAUGGGUCACUUCACUUUGGGUCUCUUGGCCUUCAUCAGUUCAUUGUAAUUAUCAACAGUAAAAGACAAUACAACUGUGAUGCAUUUUCACAAAAAGUUUGCAAAGUCUUCAUUUUCACAAAAAGUUUGCUAAUAGAAAAUUUUUAAGUAAUAUUGUUGUUAUUGAAUGUAACUGCCAUGUAAUCAUUCUAAGUAAUAUUGUUAUUUAUGUAGAAGGUUUUUCCCGUAACGUUCUUGACAAAGCGCUUGUGUUUGUUGGUUAAUCGGAUUAGCAUUUUGAUUGUUCGUAAAGCACUGGAAAACUCGCCCUGAAUCAAAAAUCAUUCUCAAUCUAUUUAAUUCCCUCUGGUAUUAUUGCUUAUGAACUGUACCUUUUAAAUUACAGUAGUUAAAUAUUUAAUAAACACUUAAAAUUAAUAAAAGUUACCAUAAAAAUUACUUGAGAAGCCUUACAACUACAAGUUGAAAAAUAUCGGCAACACAGCAGUAACUGGUAACAAGAAAAUUCAAUGAGACGCCAAAAUGCCACCUAGCGCUAUCCAAUUAACCUGUGGGUGAGGGUAUUUCCACCCUACUAUUUGUGUAAAUCCACCCCACUUCUAAAAAUAUUUAUAAUAAAUACACUUUUUUUUAAUAAAUACAAAUCAACAGAAAAAAUUAUAUAAUUAAUCAAUUAAAUCAUUCUUAUAUUUUUUUUUCUUAAGUUAUUUACUUGCGCUGUAAGAAUCGGAAUUGGAAUGAACAACAUUCUCAUUGAUGUGUUUACUUUAUUUUAUAAUUGGAAUAACUAUUUCAAGUUAUUAAAAUGCCCUAAUAUUAUUUGUAUAUAUUAUAACUAAAACAACAAUAAUAAUAAAACUAAAAAUAAUACUUCUGACAAUAAUGUUAAUUAAAACAAAAAAUUAAUAAAAUUUAACAAUAAUAAUAAUAACAAAAACAAAAAAAUUAACUGAAAUAAUAAUAUUAAUAAUGAUAAUAAUUAAAAUAAUAAAAAUCAUUAAUAGUUUUAAUACUAUUAUUAAUAAAAAUAAUAACAACAAUAACUAAUAAUAAUUAAAAUAACAAAGUUAAUAUAAUAAUAACAUUAAUUUUAAUCAUAACAAGAUAAAUAUUAAUAAUAAUGAAUUAAUUACGGUAUAAUAACAAUUAAAAUAAUAAAAGUAAUAAAUUUUAAUAAUAAUAAUGACAAUAAUAAUCAUAAAUAAUAAUAAUAAUUAAAAUAAAUAAAAAUAAUAAAAUUUAAUAGAAAUAAUCUUAUAUAAUAAUAAUAAUGAUAAUAAUAAUAAAAAUAAAUUAAAAUUAUUUUCAAAUGUCAUUUUAUCAUAAAAAUGGACUUAUAUGUAAAAAUUUGUAACAUUUAGUGUCUAUUGAAUUUUACAAAAAAUAUAAGGUGGUGUGGUGUAAUCAACUACAAAAGAAUAAAAGUUGUUGUAUAUUACAACUGUUGCAACAUAGGCGGACCCUAUAUAUAUGUAUUUUAAAAAAUAAUGAAACCGUAAUAACCCUUAUAACUAUGUAUCUCAAUCAUUGAGAAUCUAGUUGACUUGGAAGCACGAGUCUUCACCUCAUAUGAAUUUAGUUCGACAUUUUUGCAUUAUUUGGAUUACCCAUUGAGUCUUGAGAUCAAACUUGUGCCCCUGCAUUUUCUUUUAGUCUAAUCGCUUAGCAUACCUUAUUAUUCGUGUAUUAUCGUUUUUUUUUAUGUUUAUUAACAUCUAAUCACUAAUCUUUGUUUGCUUCGGUGAAAACUUUGAUCAAGAUAGAGUUGUAGUUUACUGAUAAAAUGAUCACGAUUUUUAAUUUAAAGAUUUGAUUCCAAGAUCCUAACAUUCACAUUUUUAAUUAUAUUUGUUGAUAAACAAGAAAAAAAUUGAUUAGAAGAAUACGACAAUAAGAAGAUAAAAAUACUUGCUCAAAUACUCUGCCGUGUGCUUACAUACAAAUCCACUCUCUUAGCUUUUUAAUCACAUAUAUAAAUCAUCAUCAUCACUAGAUGAUCAUAUAUUUACUCAAUAAUCAAAGCUAGUUAGUGAAAGCUUUGAAUGGUCUUCCAAGAUUGAAGAUGAGGGCAGCACUAGGAACUUCCAGGAACCUUCUCGUAAAUUUAGAUAGAUGCCGAGUGUAUGGACUGUUCGAUGAAAUGCCUCUAUGAAGUUGAGGAAUGGAGAGAUUGCAUAACGACCACAUGUUUGGAACUUGAAUUCAGACUGUUAUUAUUAGAAGCACAUGUCAUGGGGUCUCUUCACUUUAACCUUUGGUCCCAUCCUCUGGCCUUCUGCCACCUGGAUCUUCGCAGCAACUUUGCUGAGUAAGAUUGACGAUUGCAGUGCUACGCUAUUUGUCACUUUAGUCUAGAUAUAAAGCUUAAAAUCUUAUCACAGGGUAAUAAUAUCAGUAAACAUUUGACAAAUCACUGAUCAAUUGAUCUUUUCAAGUCACUUGUAUCGUUUCCAUCGGAUUUGACGCCAUCAAACUACAAAAAUUUAUGUAAAAUUUUUGAAGUAACAAAAUUGUCUUACCCAUUAUACACGAUAGAAUCUCGGAUCAUGAAUGAAGUGAUGUCAAUUUCAAUUAAAAAGAUUUCAGUCUCAAGACCCUAACCCGUUUAGGUUAUUGAGCGAACGACUUAUCAAAAUGAGAAAGCUACAAAAUAUGUGACAAUACGAGGACAGCAAAGAAAUUAAGCCAUCAGCUCUUGGAGUGUAUUCUGUUUUGCACAAAAAAUAUAAAUCAGUGAUCACCUCUAGUUUAUCAAAGUAAUCAUGAUUAAUGCUGUAAGGAAAGCUUUAGUAGUCUUUCUUUAUGAAUCUCGCCCGCUUUUGCUUUUCUUUUAGCAUAGUCUUUCUUUGUAUCCCCAGUCAACCCAAAGCCUUUAACUAUGAUCUUCUCUUGAAUAGAUCUUGUCUAAUAAAAAAUUGAGAUCCUCUCUUGAAUAGAGUUUACCCUUGAAAAAUAAGUAUACAUUAUCAUUCAUGUACUGUCAAAAUUUGAGCUUAAGUUCCAACUAUUUAAAAAUUAUUGUUUAUUUUUGUUGGUGAAAGCAAAUCGAUUAGAAGAAUGUGGUACUGGUAAUAAGAAGAUAAAAAUGCUUGCUCAAUACUUUGCCGUGUGUGCUUUCUUACAAAUCCACUAGCUUAGCUUUUAAUCACAUAGAUAAGUCGUCAUAUUCACAUAUAUAAGUCGUCAUAUUAUCAUAUAUUACACAAUAAUCAAAGCUAAUUAUUGAAACCUUUCGAGUUUGAAAAUGCCGGCAGCACUUGCAACUUCCAGGAACCUUCGUGGAAGUGCAGAUGCUGAGUGCAUCCAUCUGUUCGAUUAAAUGCCGAAAUGAUUUCGAGGACCCACACGACCACGCAACAUUUUUUUUUUGUUCAUUUUAUUUGUAUAUCUAUUUGUGGGAAAAAAAAAAGAAUCAUAAGGUCCGCAAACUUUGGCUUUAUAGCAGAGUAAUUAAUUUUUUAUUUAUUACUCAUCAACUUAGAUUUUUAAAUUACAACAGUAAUAAAAUAUUUAAUAAACAAUUACAAAUAAUUAAAGCUGCCAUUAAAAAUGUUUGAAAAGUCUUACGAUUACAUGCUGAAAAAUGUCCGCAUCGGCAUCAUAGCACUUACUAGUAACAAGAAAAUUCAAUGAAAUGCCAAAAUGAUACCUUGCGCUGUCCAAUUAACCUAUAACUUUAACACUAUUUACAUGCAAUUAUAACCAUCUAUCUCAGUUAUUAAGAAUCUAUAGUUGACUUGGAAGCACGAGUCUUCUCCUUGUAUGAAUUUAGUUUGGCAUUUUCCUAAUCAUCCCUCUUCUCUAAUCUCUAGAGUUCUCUGAAAUCUCUUCUUCAUUUUCUGUCUCCCUUUUCUUAAUAAUCCUUGUCCUCGAUCCUAUACAUUCUUUAAAAACCUUCCAUUGCACUCGCUUUUCAAUUUGUCUUGGCAGAAAAAGGAUCCCCCUUUGUUUCAUCUCUAGAUCCGUCACUCUUUUUCUCUCCUCCUCCCUUAAAUCUAUUCAACCUCUUAUUUUAGCAAUUUAUCCAAACUUCUUAUUUCCCUUUCCCAGCUGAUUGAUUAGUUCUGCUUAGUUUGAUUAGUUUUGCUUUCCCCUGUUUUCUGAAAGCGAAAAAUAAAAAAGAAAGGGAUAAUGGAAAUUGUUAUCUCCGUUGCUGCAAAAGUUGCAGAGUACUUGGUUGCUCCCAUUGUUCAUCCAUUUACUUACUGCUGCAGCUACAACACCAACUUGGAGAAGCUGAAGAAUGAAUUUGAGAAGCUAAAGAUUGCUAGAGCCAGUCUGCA